rnacentral:rRNA from 1 species
GACGAACGCUGGCGGCGUGCUUAACACAUGCAAGUCGAACGGAAAGGCCCUGCUUUUGUGGGGUGCUCGAGUGGCGAACGGGUGAGUAACACGUGAGUAACCUGCCCUUGACUUUGGGAUAACUUCAGGAAACUGGGGCUAAUACCGGAUAGGAGCUCCUGCUGCAUGGUGGGGGUUGGAAAGUUUCGGCGGUUGGGGAUGGACUCGCGGCUUAUCAGCUUGUUGGUGUGGUAGUGGCUUACCAAGGCUUUGACGGGUAGCCGGCCUGAGAGGGUGACCGGCCACAUUGGGACUGAGAUACGGCCCAGAAUCCUACGGGAGGCAGCAGUGGGGAAUAUUGCACAAUGGGCGGAAGCCUGAUGCAGCAGCGCCGCGUGCGGGAUGACGGCCUUCGGGUUGUAAACCGCUUUCGCCUGUGACGAAGCGUGAGUGACGGUAAUGGGUAAAGAAGCACCGGCUAACUACGUG